rnacentral:misc_RNA from 1 species
UAUGUAUAAUGGAAAUAAGGUCUUCAAGACAAAGCUUCCACGAUGGAAAACAAAUAGUCCUUCAAUCUCACUUGAGCUUCCUAAACAAGAAAUGAAACCAGAAGCCUAAUUAAGCUAACCAUUCGGAUACAUAACCACCAACCUACUCAAAAGAUGCUUAUACCAACUAACGAUUUCUGGAAAGCAAAACAUAGAAAGUUUGGAUUCGAAAAAUUAACGUUGUCUUCGAGGAAAAUCUUCGCACCAAGAAAAAAGCUUGUCAAGAUGUUUUCUCCUCCAGAGAUCCUCAACACUUUGCUGUUUCUAUUCUGUUCUCUAUUUUUGUUGUCCGAAUGUUCAAUUAUAAACGAUCCAAGAUCUACAAUCAUCUGCAUGCCCGGUGAUACAAUACACAAUGUCACCCUAACGCAUGGUAUAAACGCUGGUGUAUUCACCGCUAUCGACUGGGCUAAAACAAUGCCUCAGUGUAUACGAGAAUCCUGCAACCGAAAAGCGGGGCAAAUCGCCUUUUUAGUAGAGAGUAGUUGCUACAUGGUGAGCUGUUUUAGGAAGGAGUAUUGCAAAUCUUUUUCUGAUUCAAUGCCGAACACUCUUCGAGUUGCGGUGACUCCCUACACAUUCUUUGAUGCAGCCCCAGCGUUUCAGCCUCUAGAAAGAACAUUAUACAUUGAUGAAAAUAACAAAGUCGGCAAAAAACUUAUUGAUAUUUUUGCAUAUGCGAAGAGCAGACGGAGUGAUAACGCAACAGUUUUUUUCAAUAUAACAAGAGGAAAUAUUGCAAAUGCGUUUAAGCUCAUCCAACGUCCUGAAAGAGGAGGCGCUUCACUAGUUGCAAACGUCGUCCUCGAUCGUGAAAACGUAUCAUAUUACUAUUUAAUAAUCCAAGCCACCAAUGUCGAUGAACAAAAAAUAAGUACUACAACCUUAAGGGUCGAAGUUCUUGACAUUAAUGACAACGGCCCAAAAUUUCUCAAAUCUCAGUACAGUACGACGAUAAACAGUAACGUAUCUAUUGGUACAGAGGUAUUAAGAGUGUAUGCUGUCGAUCCGGAUACCGGCGAAAAUGCGCAAAUCCGGUACUAUCUCAUCACCUACACCCAACUUUUUCAAAUUCUUCCUGAGACAGGAACGAUCAUAGUAAAGCAACGAAUCCAACUUGAUCGAACGCGGACGUUCACACUGAUUGUUGCCGCCAUUAAUGGAGAACAUCGGGCUGUGGUAUCAGUCAAUGUUCAAGUUGUUGCUUUAAAUGAAUUCAGACCGUUUUUCCAACGUUUGAAUUAUCAGGUGUCAGUUUCAGAAGCCAUAAAAGUUGGGACAUCGUUGAUUAGGAUAUCAGCGACAGAUAGCGACACAGGAUCAUUUUCACAGCUGAAGUACUCUAUCACAAGCGGAAACAAUAANCUAUUCCGAAUUGACGACAGUGGUGACGUCAGAACAACGAAGUCUUUGCAUAGCAUUGGAGUAAAGAAUUUCACACUUAGGAUCAGUGUGCGUGAUAGUGGAAAUCCUCCUUUGAAAUCGGUACAGUCUGCUAAGCUUGUGGUGCUUGUUACGUCAAUGGAAAGAUACAAGGUGAAGUUCGACGUUCCGCUGUAUACUAUUGCUAUUAUGGAGAACAUUCCAGUAGGUUCUAGUAUUCUCAAUGUGCGUGCAGUAUCAGGAUUGAGUGCAAGCCGUCCUGGUCGGCAAAAAGAGAACCGGAAGGGAAGGAUUGUGUACUCUAUUGAAAAUAAAGAUGGAGCGCCGUUCUUCCGUAUCUCGAAGCAUACGGGGGCCAUAUCCACGAGACGACCAUUUGACUACGAGCUACAAAAAGAAUUCAGAUUGACGGUAAAUGCUAAAGACAUCGAGGCAAGAAGACGUGGACUGCGUGUCCAAAAAGAUCACGCAAUCGUAAGAGUCAAGGUGAUUGACCUGAACGACAACCGUCCAAAGUUUGUCCUUUCAUUCUACCAAGAUAUCAUCAACGAGAACAUGACAGUAGGUUCUUCCAUCCUUCGAGUUACAGCCAACGAUGCUGACAAUGGCAUGAACAAGAAAGUCGAGUAUAUCAUGCAGUCCGGCAAUAUCAACAACACCUUCUCCAUGGACGCUGAUUCUGGAACGUUGAGAUUAAGCCGCUCCUUGGCUCAGGGAACUAUUGAGUUCUACAAUCUAACUGUCUUUGCCAAAGAUAAGGGACGUCCACCUUUAAGUUCGAGUCCAGUUUCGAUUUACAUCAAAGUGAAACGCCACACAUUUGGCCCGACAAUAAGGCCGGAGUUUACAGUGCCAGUCUACCUCGCUAAAGUAAAUGAAAGCUGCCCUGUUCAUACUGAGAUUCUCCGAGUUCGAGCACGAAUGAACUCGGGGCCGGAUAGUGGGAUUAAGUAUUAUGCAACGCAGGUUUCUGGUGGAGAAGCUGACUCGCAUUUUGCGGUAAAUUCAGUAACUGGUGCUAUAACACUUAUACGGAAACUGGAUUAUAAGAAAAAAGAUCGUUAUACGUUUCUGGUUGCAGCGAUUGAUGUAAGCAAGGCUUCUUCGGUGGACAACGUGUUGGUUCGUAUACUCGUAGAAGACGUUAAUAACCAUAAACCCGUCUUCGAUAAACCAGUAUAUAACGUCAUAUACAACAAAGAACCGCAAUUGUUCUCAAGGGUGGUGCAAGUCACGGCUACUGACGAAGACGCGGGUCAAAAUGCUGACUUGACUUACUUUCUUCAUGACAACGCCAAAGACAAAAAAGGAUUCUUUGAAAUUGAGCCAAAGACUGGAAUAAUGAAGAUAAUGCGCAUGCUCCAACGAGAGUCCCUCAGUUUGUUCCGCAUGUCAGUUUCUGUGAUUGACAACGGCACGCCUUCCUUGAGGUCCGACAAAAAUGCAGAAAUAAAUGUCUUGAUUUUCCAACCCUUCAGCACUCCAUUGAUUCUAAUCAAGACUACACAACAAACGAUAACAGUGCAGUUUAACCUGAAAUAUCUGGACCUAACCAACGUGAAAGAAUUUGGAGUCAUUGUUCAAGAGUAUUUGCCAAGUUCAGAUCUAUUCGAGGACUACACCAAGCUGAAACCAACGACAUGGUUUCUCAUUGGAUAUCUCCAAAAGAAAAACCAGAACUUACGCCGUUACAUUUCCAAGAUCGUGCCGAACACACCCGUUAUUACGAAAUUCGGCAUGUUCCAGAUUACUGUUGGCGAUGACAAGGGCUGUAAUUUGCGCAAUGAGAUUUGCAGUGGACCGUUGAAUCCUAGUUCUAAAUACAGAUUUCAGCUGCGAGCCUAUCUUAACGACAGUGGUCCGUUCGCUCAGCACAAGUUUAAAGAUGGCGAUUUUACUGAGGCGUUUUUCACAGGGCUGGGCACCGAAGCCAAAACCUACAGGAAGGAAGGACGUCGCAACUAUGAUGCCGUUGUGUACAGUGUUGGAGCAGCGCUAAUUCUUGUGAUCUUGCUAUCUUUCCUGAGAGGAUUCUAUCGGUUAAAGCUGGAUAGAUUACGAAUCCACGAGGACAAGAAGAAGCAGAUUUCAUUUCCGGUCAGCAACCCUCGCUUCCAGGACCCUGAGUCACCCGUGGAGAAAAUCAGGACACCUGGGCAAGGGAGGAAACUAAUGGCGUCGAUAAAUGCUGAGAAAUCAUUAGAUAUCGGUAGAAGCGAAGAAGACGAUGGUUCUUCACCAGACUCCGCAUUAGGUACGUGUACCUCAUGCCAAUCUGAGCCCACAAACCAAGAAACCAUGAGAUCAGCGUACUUUGCCUUUGAGUAUUAGGACUUCCAUGACAUGCAGUUCACCCAUGACCAUUUCUCGAGGCCACUUCAGAUAACAGCCCAGUGUGAUACACCACUCUUACGAAUCAACGCGACCCUUACAGAGACAAAGACCAAGACUCCAAGACAUAAGACUGAAAAGCUACUUUCAUUCGGUGGACACGGAGUCGUGCAACUCCUG